rnacentral:rRNA from 1 species
UACGUAUGGUGCAAGCGUUAUCCGGAUUUACUGGGUGUAAAGGGAGCGUAGGCGGCAUGGCAAGUCAGAUGUGAAAGCCCGGGGCCCAACCCCGGAACUGCAUUUGAAACUGUCAGGCUAGAGUACCGGAGAGGUAAGCGGAAUUCCUAGUGUAGCGGUGAAAUGCGUAGAUAUUAGGAGGAACACCAGUGGCGAAGGCGGCUUACUGGACGGUAACUGACGCUGAGGCUCGAAAGCGUGGGGAGCAAAC